rnacentral:rRNA from 1 species
UACGGAGGGGGCUAGCGUUGUUCGGAAUUACUGGGCGUAAAGCGCACGUAGGCGGCUUUGCAAGUUAGAGGUGAAAGCCCGGAGCUCAACUCCGGAAUUGCCUUUAAAACUGCAUCGCUAGAAUUGUGGAGAGGUAAGUGGAAUUCCGAGUGUAGAGGUGAAAUUCGUAGAUAUUCGGAAGAACACCAGUGGCGAAGGCGACUUACUGGACACUUAUUGACGCUGAGGUGCGAAAGCGUGGGGAGCAAACAGG